GCUGGGUGUGGUGACGCAUGCCUGUAGUCCCAGCUACUCAGGAGGCUGAGGCAGAAGAAUCGCUUGAACCCAGGAGACGGAGGUUGCAGUAAGCCGAGAUCACACCACUACACUCCAGCCUGGGUGACAGAGCGAGACUCUGUCUCAA
rnacentral:SRP_RNA from 2 species